rnacentral:rRNA from 1 species
GGGACGAACGCUGGCGGCGCGCUUAACACAUGCAAGUCGAGCGAGAACCAGGGCUUCGGCCCUGGGGAAAGCGGCGAACGGGUGAGUAACACGUGAGUAACCUGUCCUCGGCACCGGGAUAGCCCGGGGAAACCCGGAUUAAUACCGGAUGGCCUUUCGAGCUCUCGGGCUCGUUAGAAAAGGUAGCUUCGGCCUCCGGCCGAGGAGGGACUCGCGGCGGAUUAGCUUGUUGGUGAGGUAACGGCUCACCAAGGCGACGAUCCGUAGCUGGUCUGAGAGGACGAUCAGCCACACUGGGACUGAGACACGGCCCAGACUCCUACGGGAGGCAGCAGUGGGGAAUCUUGCGCAAUGGGCGAAAGCCUGACGCAGCGACGCCGCGUGCGGGAAGAAGGCCUUCGGGUUGUAAACCGCUUUCAGGAGGGACGAAGCCACUCGGGUUAAUAGCCCAGAGGGUGACGGUACCUCCAGAAGAAGCCCCGGCUAACUACGUGCCAGCAGCCGC